AUUGAACGCUGGCGGCAGGCCUAACACAUGCGAGUCGAGCGGAUGAAGGGAGCUUGCUCCUGGAUUCAGCGGCGGACGGGUGAGUAAUGCCUAGGAAUCUGCCUGGUAGUGGGGGAUAACGUCCGGAAACGGGCGCUAAUACCGCAUACGUCCUGAGGGAGAAAGUGGGGGAUCUUCGGACCUCACGCUAUCAGAUGAGCCUAGGUCGGAUUAGCUAGUUGGUGGGGUAAAGGCCUACCAAGGCGACGAUCCGUAACUGGUCUGAGAGGAUGAUCAGUCACACUGGAACUGAGACACGGUCCAGACUCCUACGGGAGGCAGCAGUGGGGAAUAUUGGACAAUGGGCGAAAGCCUGAUCCAGCCAUGCCGCGUGUGUGAAGAAGGUCUUCGGAUUGUAAAGCACUUUAAGUUGGGAGGAAGGGCAGUAAGUUAAUACCUUGCUGUUUUGACGUUACCAACAGAAUAAGCACUGGCUAACUUCGUG
rnacentral:rRNA from 1 species